rnacentral:rRNA from 1 species
GAAUGUCAAAUUUCUAGUAUGAGAAAUUAACGAUUUAAGUCCUUCUUAAAUGAGGCCAUUUACCCAUAGAGGGUGCCAGGCCCGUAUAACGUUAAUGAUUACUAGAUGGCAUUUCCAAAGAGUCGUGUUGCUUGAUAGUGCAGCACUAAGAGGGUGGUAAACUCCAUCUAAAACUAAAUAUAACCAUGAGACCGAUAGUAAACAAGUACCGUGAGGGAAAGUUGAAAAGAACUCUGAAUAGAGAGUUAAAUAGUACGUGAAACUGCUUAGAGGUUAAGCCCGAUGAACCUGAAUAUCCGUUAUAGAAAAUUCAUCAUUAUGAUUUUAGUAUUACAAAUAUUAAAAUAAUGUUGUGCAUUUUUUCUAUUGAGGACAUUGUAAUCUAUUAACAUAAAAAUUUAAUUUAUCAUAAGAUCAGUAUGCGAAAGUUUAUUCACAUUAUUUUGCUUGCAAUUUAACAUAGAAUAAAUGCUCUGAUUUGAUAAAGUGUUGAUAGAUUUAUAACAUAUAGUGCUUAAAUAUUUAUAUUUUAUAGUAGCAUAUUAAUUUUUAAUUUUUAUGUUUACUAUAUGCACUUAUAUGAUUAACAAUGCGAAAGAUUCAGGAUACCUUCGGGACCCGUCUUGAAACACGGACCAAGGAGUCUAACAUAUUUGCAAGUUAUUGGGAAUAAAAACCUAAUAGCAUAAUUAACAUAACUUAAUAAUGGGAUUAGUUUUUAGCCUAUUUAUAGUCUAUUAAUUCAAUCCCGGGGCGUUCUAUAUGGUUAUGUAUAAUAAUAUUUAUAUUAUUUAUACCUCUAACUAGAACGUACCUUGAGCAUAUAUGCUGUGACCCGAAAGAUGGUGAACUAUACUUGAUCAGGUUGAAGUCAGGGGAAACCCUGAUGGAAGACCGAAACAGUUCUGACGUGCAAAUCGAUUGUCAGAAUUGAGUAUAGGGGCGAAAGACCAAUCGAACCAUCUAGUAGCUGGUUCCCUCCGAAGUUUCCCUCAGGAUAGCUGGUGCAUUUAAAAAUUGUGUAAAAUAAUCUUAUCUGGUAAAGCGAAUGAUUAGAGGCCUUAGGGUCGAAACGAUCUUAACCUAUUCUCAAACUUUAAAUGGGUAAGAACCUCACCUUUCUUGGUAUGAAGGUUGUGGUUGUGAUAUAAUGUGCCCAGUGGGCCACUUUUGGUAAGCAGAACUGGCGCUGUGGGAUGAACCAAACGUAAUGUUACGGUGCCCAAAUUAACAACUCAUACAGAUACCAUGAAA